CCUACGGGGGCAGCAGUGGGGAAUAUUGCACAAUGGGCGCAAGCCUGAUGCAGCGACGCCGCGUGAGCGAUGAAGGCCUUCGGGUCGUAAAGCUCUGUCCUAAGGGAAGAAUAAUGACGGUACCUUAGGAGGAAGCCCCGGCUAACUACGUGCCAGCAGCCGCGGUGAUACGUAGGGGGCGAGCGUUAUCCGGAAUCACUAGGCGUAAAGGGUGCGUAGGCGGCCCUGCAAGUCAGGAGUUAAAUCCCUCGGCUCAACCGAGGCCAGGUCUUGAAACUGUAGGGCUUGAGUGCAGGAGAGGAGGGCGGAAAUCCUAGGGUGGGGGCGAGAUGCGUGGAUAUCAGGAGGAUCACGAGUCGCGAAGGCGGCUCUCUGGACCGCAGCUGACGCUGAGGCACGAAAGCGUGGGGAGCGGACAGGAUUAGAUACACUGGUAGUC
rnacentral:rRNA from 1 species